rnacentral:rRNA from 1 species
CCUACGGGUGGCUGCAGUGGGGAAUAUUGGACAAUGGGGGCAACCCUGAUCCAGCCAUGCCGCGUGUGUGAAGAAGGCCCUCGGGUUGUAAAGCACUUUCAGUGAGGAAGAACGCCUGGUGGUUAAUACCCAUCAGGAAAGACAUCACUCACAGAAGAAGCACCGGCUAACUCCGUGCCAGCAGCCGCGGUAAUACGGAGGGUGCGAGCGUUAAUCGGAAUUACUGGGCGUAAAGCGCGCGUAGGUGGCUUGAUAAGCCGGUUGUGAAAGCCCGGGGCUCAACCUGGGAACGGCAUCCGGAACUGUCAAGCUAGAGUGCAGGAGAGGAAGGUAGAAUUCCCGGUGUAGCGGUGAAAUGCGUAGAGAUCGGGAGGAAUACCAGUGGCGAAGGCGGCCUUCUGGACUGACACUGACACUGAGGUGCGAAAGCGUGGGUAGCAAACAGGAUUAGAUACCCGAGUAGUC